GUCAGAAGAAACCUCUGCUUCCAAAGGUCAUAUCCUUAGCCUGCUCUUUUUCCUCCCUCCCUCCCUCCCUCCCUCCCUUCCUUCCUUCCUCCCUCCCUUCCUUCCUUCAUUCCUUCCUCCCUCCCUUCCUUCCUCCUCCCUCCCUUCUUCCUUCCUCCUCCCUUCCUUCCUCCCUUCUUCCUUCCUUCCUCCUUCCUCCCUCCUCCCUCCCUCCCUCCUCCCUCCUUCCUUCCUCCCUCCCUCCCUCCUUCCUUCCUUCCUUCCUUCCUCCCUCCCUUCCUCCCUUCCUCCCUUCCUUCCUCCUCCCUUCCUCCCUCCUCCCUCCUCCCCUCCCUUCCUCCCUCCUCCCUCCCUUCCUCCUUCCUCCCUCCUUCCUUCCUUCCUUCCUCCCUCCCUCCUUCCUCCCUCCCUUCCUUCCUCCCUUCCUCCUUCCUUCCUUCCUUCCUCCCUCCCUCCCUUCCUUCCUCCCUUCCUUCCUCCUCCCCUCCCUUCCUUCCUCCCUUCCUCCUUCCUCCCUUCCUCCCUCCCUCCCUCCCUCCUUCCUUCCUUCCUCCCUCCCUUCCGUCCUCCCUUCCUUCCUUCCUCCCUUCCUCCCUUCUCCCUCCCUCCCUCCCUCCCUCCCUUCCUUCCUCCUUCCUCCCUCCCUCCCUUCCUUCCUUCCUCCCUUCCUCCCUCCUUCCUCCCUCCUUCCUUCCUCCCUCCCUCCUCCCUCCCUCCCCUCCCGCCCUCCCUCCCUCCUUCCUUCCUCCCUCCCUUCCUCCCUUCCUUCCUUCCUCCCUCCUUCCUUCCUCCUUCCUCCCUUCCUUCCUUCCUCCCUCCCUUCCUCCCUCCCUUCCUUCCUUCAUUCCUUCCUCCUCCCUUCCUCCCUCCCUCCCUCCCUCCCUCCCUCUCCUUCCUUCCUGUCCUCCCUCCCUUCCUUCCUCCCUUCCUUCCUUCCUCCCUUCCUCCUUCCCUCCCUCCCUCCCUUCCUUCCUUCCUCCUUCCCUUCCUUCCUUCCUCCCUUCCUCCCUCCCUUCCUUUCUUCCUUCCUUCCUUCCUCCCUUCCCUCCCUUCUU
rnacentral:lncRNA from 1 species